rnacentral:rRNA from 1 species
GUGAAAAACUUAAAACUCCAAGGACUUGGCGGUGCUCCAUAUCGACCUAGAGGAGCCUGUCCUAUAAUCGAUACCCCCCGUUUCACCUUACCAUUUUUAGCAAUUCAGCCUAUAUACCGCCGUCGUCAGCUUACCUCGUGAGAGAUUUUAAAGUAGGCAAAAUAGUUACUUACUAACACGUCAGGUCAAGGUGUAGCACACAAAAUGGAAGAGAUGGGCUACAUUUUCUAACCUAGAAAAAACGAACAUUGCGGUGAAAUCCGCCCUUUAAGGAGGAUUUAGCUGUAAGACAGAUAAGAGAAUCUGCCUAAACCCCGCUCUGGAGCGCGC